rnacentral:rRNA from 1 species
GAAAUGCAUCUGACCGGCCGUUGAAAGAGGCACCUCCCGUUCGGGCAGAUGUGUAGGUGCUGCAUGGUUGUCGUCAGCUCGUGCCGUGAGGUGUCGGCUUAAGUGCCAUAACGAGCGCAACCUCAUCAUUAGUUACCAUCAGGUAAGGCUGGGGACUCUAAUGAGACUGCCAUCGUAAGAGUGUGAGGAAGGUGGGGAUGACGUCAAAUCAGCACGGCCCUUACGUCCGGGGCGACACACGUGUUACAAUGGGUGGUACAAAGGGCAGCUACCUGGCGACAGGAUGCUAAUCUCGAAAACCGCUCUCAGUUCGGAUCGGAGUCUGCAACUCGACUCCGUGAAGCUGGAUUCGCUAGUAAUCGCGCAUCAGCCACGGCGCGGUGAAUACGUUCCCGGGCCUU